GUCUACGGCCAUGCCACCCUGAACAAGCCCGAUGUUGAUCACGGAUGCUGAGCAGGGUCGGGCCUGGUUAGUACUUGGAUGGGAGACCAAUUAGGAAGAAUAGCUGCCAUAGGUG
rnacentral:rRNA from 1 species